GGGGCUGAACGGUUUCGACUUCGCGCAUCGAAUCAAGGGAAGCGUGCCGGUGCAGGCAAGAGACCACCGUAAGCGUCGUUGCAACCAAUUAAGCGCCGAUUCCAAUCAGCGCGACUACGCUCUCGCUGCCUAAGCGACAGCUGGUCCGUCAGACCGGGGACUCCCUCGACCCGGAUCCUGGCGUCAUCUAGAGGGAUCAACCGGUGAGUCCGGUCGCGGGACUCAUCGGGACACCAAACAGCGACUGGGAUCGUCAUCCUGACUUGUUCGCGCGAUCAGGAGAUCCGAGUAGAGGCAUAGCGAACUGCGCACGGAGAAGUCUUGAGGGAAUGCCGUAGGACCCGGGUUCGAUUCCCGGCAGCUCCACUU
rfam:Mycobacterium sp. GA-1999 GCID_NTM_00005_NODE_4.ctg_1, whole genome shotgun sequence.